rnacentral:tRNA from 1 species
GGCUUAAUUGGGUUUAAGCUAGUUUUUGACCUUUGAAAGCUUUAUAUAUCAAGCAUUAAUGUUCGAUUCGUAAUCGAGCGGUCGCGGGUUCAAAUCCCGCCAUCG